CAUACCUAGGUCCUCACAUUGGCCACUCAGCUUGUAAAAACAAAGCUACAGGCGUUCUCACACUGCUAAUUACCUCCGAAUUAGCAAGUGCUGGCACCAAAGAGAUUACCAGUAACAGGACCAAUAACAGGAUUUU